rnacentral:rRNA from 1 species
GACGGAGGGUGCUAGCGUUGCUCGGAAUUACUGGGCGUAAAGGGCGCGUAGGCGGUCUGUUAAGUCCGGUGUGAAAGUCCCCGGCUCACCCGGGGAAGUGCGCCGGAAACUGGCAGACUAGAGUACCGGAGAGGAGGGUGGAAUUCCUGGUGUAGCGGUGAAAUGCGUAGAUAUCAGGAGGAACACCGGUGGCGAAGGCGGGUCUCUGGGCCGAAACUGACGCUGAGGAGCGAAAGCGUGGGGAGCAAACAGG